rnacentral:rRNA from 1 species
CCUACGGGAGGCAGCAGUGGGGAAUAUUGCGCAAUGGGCGAAAGCCUGACGCAGCGACGCCGCGUGAGCGAAGAAGGCCUUCGGGUUGUAAAGCUCUGUCAGGGGGGACGAAGGGAGACUGACGGUACCCCCAGAGGAAGCCCCGGCCAACUACGUGCCAGCAGCCGCGGUAAU